AUUUGUUUGUUGAAUUUAGCGAGGGAGGGGACAUUUAUGAAAUUGCAAUAACUGAAAUGAAAAAGAAGUUGAAAAAAUAUUUUUUCCAAUCCCUCCUAUAUUUGGUGUAUCUGCUAUGUUAAAUCCAACUAUGAAAUUAGGAGGUCCUCACUUUUGGUAUUCUACUAUUUAUCAAUCUUUAGAUCUUUCAGAAGUAGANNNN
rnacentral:lncRNA from 1 species